UAAUAUCGGGCAAGGAUAUUUUUGUAAAUCAUCUCUAAUCGAUAAAAACUAAGUUUGAUCAAGGUGUUUUCAUUUUCAUCUGUUGCAGCCGCUGAAGCGUUUCACUCCCGUUCUUGUCUAGGGAAGAGGCUAGAUAUGGCAAGUGUGUAAGGGGUCCUAUUGAAGAAUUUAUGAAAAGUGCAGCAAACAACACUGGAGAGUCAAAGUGCCUGUAAAAAGAAGUUGAAGGAUAAGGCGUGGGAUAGCAUAUCGGCUUGGAUGCCCGAAAAUGCUACACCUUUCAAUACUGUUUGUUCCCCUAGUUUCCAAACGAUGCUCCAUUCUAUUGGAGAUUAUGGGAAAAGUUAGAAAGUGAAGCAUCUGAAGUAGCUGUACAGGGAGUGAGACUUGUUUAUAUACAGAACGGGUUGUAUACACGUCAAGGUCAUUGUAUACAGGGCAGAAAAAUAAAGGUGUCUUGCAACACGCUAGUUUUCUUACUGGUGGAGCUACAACUGCUGCUGGAAGAUUGGUUGGCCACAACGACGUCCUUGAGGACAAACUGUGAUGAUUAUGGACAAUGAGUUUGUAGCUUCUAGGAAGAGAAUGCCAAGGGGUCAAACUGAAAGAGAGAUUUUGCAAAUGCUGGAUCAUCCUUUUCCUCCAACAUUAUUUGCUCAUUUUACUAUGGAGAAGUUUUCGUGUUAGUUAUGGCACAUACUUAGGAAGAGAAUGCCAAGGGCCAACCAGGUGUUUUUCCGAACAAGCAGCCAGGUUUGACGCUGCCGAAGUACUCCCUGCGUUAGAAUACCUACACAUACUUGAGGUUAUAUACAGUGACCUGAAACCGGAAAUACUUUUGUCCGCGAAGAUGGUCACAUCAUGCUUUCCGACUUCGACUUAUCUCUCAGAUGCUCCAUCAGUUCAAUGCUCCUCCAAUCAGCUUCAGUAAUUGUUGAGCCAACAAAAAAUUCUGCAGGUCCAUGCACAGAUUCUAGCUGCACUGAUCUUAUCUCCAUCCAUACUGGGUCCAAGGCUUAAUGGUACUCCAUAUAUAACCUUAGAAACCCUAAGCCUGAAGUUCUCACCCAUCCAAACAACCAUCCUCCGCAAACAGAAAAUUCCCUCGCUUCCAAUCCAUUCUUGCAGGCUUCAGGUACACUCUCUCUCUCUGAUUCCCAAUUUCAUAUGUGUUUGUUUUUGAAUUUCUCAUUUUGGUUAAAAUUUAGAGAAAACGAGAAUUGAAUAAUCAUGGGUUGCUGUUGAUUUAGUAAGUUGUUGAGCUAGAAAAUCAAGGGUUACUGUUGGUCAGGUCUGAAUUUCUGUUUAAAAAUGUGCUACAAAUUAGAUGGUUCUUACUUCAAAUUAAAAGUGUGCUUCAAAUCAAACUAGGGGUUUAUGCUGUAAAAGGCCAUAGGCGCAGAAAUGUGUACGAAUUGUGUGUUCUCUAAUUUUUCCUCUGGGCACCUAGAGCGCCUUUUUGUUUUGAAUGGCCCAGAACAUGAGACAAGUAGAUCUCUGAAGACCUACGAGGGUAUAUCAGCUUCAUCUUUGCCUGCUUCUGUCUACACAUAGAAUCUAUUUUCACUCGACACUGGUACAUAUUUAAGGCAAGUACAAGGAGGAGGACGAUGACGACGACGAUGGUGGUAGUGGUGCUGCAGUUACUCGUACUAGUAAUUACGAUGGCAAUGAAAAGGACACAUUGAGAACUGUCGCUGCUGUUGCUGGUACUAGUUACGACGAUGGCGAUGAAGAAGUAGACUCAUUGAGGACAAAAUUAAGGAAAACAAGACAACUCCAGGGUUUAGUGCACUUGUUUUCCUUGAUAAAUGUGUGUUGCUGGAGUCUGUAGACUGUAGAUGCUUAUUCUAGUUGAAAGAUAUGUCAGAUAUUUGUGAUAUUUUGGUAAUUUGUAAAAAAAAUUUCUUAUUGUCCCUAUGAA